rnacentral:lncRNA from 1 species
GGAAAACAUAAGGCCCCUGCAGAGACAGCCCUGGCCUCAGGGUUCUGGUCUCCAUGCUUGCUCAGGAGGGUGAAAACAAGCACCAUCUCUGGAACGUCGUUUGUUCCACUGGACUUUCCUCAUCUGUUUUCCCAGAGUAUUUCUUCAUGAGAUGGAAAUUCUGACCCUCAGUGAAGCUGUGCCAACUGGGAGUCAUCACUUUGAGUAACAUAUGGUCGUGACUUUUAAAGAGCACUGGGAGCUGCACUUAGUGAUGCAUUAACUUGUAACCUCAGGAAAGGACACAAACUUCAGUUUCUGGCUGAAUACCAAACAUUGCUUUGUAUAUGUUAAGAAUACUGAUAAGUACAAAUCUCUGCAUAUCCCUGGUGUAAUUAGGAAUUCAGUCCCUGAGCAUGUACAUUCAUAUUGCCCUAAAAAGAAAGUCCAUUGGGAAUGUAAGACAAAUGAAUCGGAUAAAUUAAUCCUUUUCUAAGUUUCUUGUGUUUCUGCUCACCAAAUGUUACUUCGAAAAGGUAAUUUCAUACAAAUAAAUGGUUUGUUGUGCCUGGUUAGAAAAAUCUGAGCAACAUAUGCUCAGAAAAUGAGUCUACAAUGUAAGAUGAGAUUUUUAAACAGAAAUUUGCUAUCUGAUUGGGGGCCAAGCAGUGAUUUUAUUUUAACAUGCCUAGCACACAAGUUUCCUCAGUGUUGCAUUAUUUCAGGUGGCACUAAUAAAAAUGGAUCUGACUGUCAGUUCAUCGUGACUGUGUCAGUGCUCUGAGCAUUGCCACAACACAGUCAACAGCCUCCUACCAACCCCAAACCAGAUGUGUGAUUUGGAUGUUCUUUGCACUCUGGCUGUCUUCCCUAACUAACAUUACGCAUAAGUUCAUGUUACUCAAAGUAUACAGCCCCGAUAACAUUACUUAAGAACUCUAUUUACAGGGACAUUUCUUUUUUUCUACUGUAGUGCUCCAGUCCAUGCUCAUAUGUUUAUGUGUGCCUAUCUGUGCAUGUGAGUAAUUCUGAAAUAAUUUUCUGAUAGUGCUGUUACAAGUAAUGCACAUAAAAGCCCUUUGUACAGCAUAUUGAUAAUGUAAUUAUGGCUUGCUUUGUAUUAUUAGUUCCAAAGAAAAUACUGUGUGUUAAUUUUUAGAAGACCUGUGCCUUGAAUUCACCUCUUUUUAUCUAUUGUGAAAAAGAGCUUGGAUUACUUCUCCCAAUUUGUUGUCUUUAUUAGGAUCAGUCUUACUGUCCAGACUGUUGAUGUCCUUCUAAGAGAAAUAAAUCUUACAAUUCGUUAACUGUAAUAGUUAAACCUCGUGUUUAGAAUAUGCCUAGAAUGCUUCCAUUAUUACAGGCUGUGGCACAUUUAAUCUAGGGAAAUCAGUGUUUGUCUUGUCCCAUUCUUUGUUUCCAGUGCUCCUCAGUCACAGAGGAUUGGAGUUUAGCCUUUGCCUUCCUGUUCUUAACAUGUACAGUUUCUUGUUUUAGUCAACAGCCUCUCCGCUCUUUCUGAACACUCUGACUUGUCAGUCAUGAACCUCUUGUUCAAUAUACGUAAUAUGAAGCAAUAAUAUGGUGCAGCAUGGCAAUAAGCAAAUAAAGAGACUU